UUUGUUUGUUGAGUGGAAAUGGUGUGACCCUGAUGUGAUGUUUGUCCCAUCCUCUGGAGGCAGUGCCACACAGUGGACACCGUGAGAGAAUGGAGUCUCACUCAAAAUGCUGGUCACUGCACAGAAGCAAAGACUGGAAUCAUUUUCAGAGAAAUGAGGAACAGGUGGCCUGAAGAAGUUAAGUACCUUGAAGGAAAUCACAAGCAAGAAGGUAGCGGAGGCCGGAAUAUUUU